rnacentral:rRNA from 1 species
AUUGAACGCUGGCGGCAUGCUUUACACAUGCAAGUCGAACGGCAGCGGAGAGUGCUUGCGCUCUGCCGGCGAGUGGCGAACGGGUGAGUAACAUAUUGGAACGUACCGAGUAAAGGGGGAUAACUAUCCGAAAGGAUAGCUAAUACCGCAUACGCCUCGAGAAGGAAAGUGGGGGAUCUUCGGACCUCACGUUAUUCGAGCGGCCAAUAUCUGAUUAGCUAGUUGGUGGGGUAAAGGCCUACCAAGGCGACGAUCAGUAGCGGGUCUGAGAGGACGAUCGGCCACACUGGGACUGAGACACGGCCCAGACUCCUACGGGAGGCAGCAGUGGGGAAUUUUGGACAAUGGGCGCAAGCCUGAUCCAGCCAUGCCGCGUGUCUGAAGAAGGCCUUCGGGUUGUAAAGGACUUUUGUUAGGGAAGAAAAGAAAUGGGUUAAUACCCCAUUUUGCUGACGGUACCUAAAGAAUAAGCACCGGCUAACUACGUG